rnacentral:rRNA from 1 species
UUCCUUGGAACAGGACGUCAUAGAGGGUGAGAAUCCCGUUCCCGGCUGGCUGCGCGCGUCCAUGUAGAAGUGUCUUCGACGAGUCGAGUUGUUUUGGGAAUGCAGCUCAAAAUGGGUGGUAAACGUCCAUCUAAAGCUAAAUACUGGCGAGAGACCGAUAGCGCACAAGUAGAGUGAUCGAAAGAUGAAAAGCACUUUGAAAAGAGAGUUAAACAGUACGUGAAAUUGUUGAAGGGGAAGCGCUUGAGACCAGACUCAGCGGGAGGUGAUCAGGGUCGGUUCUCCGGCCUGCACUUGCCUCCCGGUGGGCCAGCAUCGGUUGCGACGGCGGGAGAAAGGUCCGAGGAAUGUGGCUCCUCUCGGGGAGUGUUAUAGCCUCGGGCGUCAUGCCGCCUGCCGUUCGACCGUGGACCGCGCUUCGGCUAGGAUGCUGGCGUAAUGGUCUUCAGCGACCCGUCUUGAAACACGGACCAAGGAGUCUAACAUCUAUGCGAGUGUUCGGGUGGAAAACCCUUGCGCGUAAUGAAAGUGAACGGAGGUGUGAGCCCCUCGGGGCGCAACAUCGACCGAUCCUGAUGUCUUCGGAUGGAUUUGAGUAGGAGCAUUUUUAGCUGUUGGGACCCGAAAGAUGGUAGAACUAUGCCAUUGAAUAGGGUGAAGCCAGAGGAAACUCUGGUGGAGGCUCGCAGCUGGUUCUGACGUGCAA